rnacentral:tRNA from 1 species
GCAUAUAUAACUCAGAGGUAGAGUGUAAUCUUGCCAAGAUUAAAGUCAAGGGUUCAAAUCCCUUUAUUUGCU